rnacentral:ncRNA from 1 species
AAGACAUAGUCUGAACCCUUUUGCAAAAAAGGGAAGUAUCAUUAAUAUGAUAACACACAGAACAGGCUAAUUUGCGCAAGAGUGUACAAAAUGAGUGCGCGGUUUGGCACCUCGAUGUCGGCUUAACUUAUCCUCAUGGAUGCAGGAACUAUGUAGGGUGCGACUGUUCGUCGAUUAAAAAGUUACAUGAGCUGGGUUAAAUACGUCGUGAGACAGUAUGGUUUCUAUCUUCUAGGGGGAAUUAGAAUAUAAUAAGAAUGAACUUUUGUACGAAAGGAACAAGAAUGAUUUAGUUUAAUUUUGGUUAAUUCUGAAAUUAGAUAAAAUAAUUGUUACUAACCUAUGGUUUACCUGUUGUUUAUAUGUCCCGAAUAUUAAAAUUAUUUCCUAUUACAAUAGGAAGGGAAUGUUUCUUUCACAAAGAUAAAUAAAUAGUAUAGGCACGGCAGGGACGCUAAGUUAGUUAAAGGUAAGUGCUGAAAGCAUAUAGGCACGAGACUUAUCUUAAGAUAUUUCUUAAAUAUACGUAUUAUAUUAAUACGAAUUAAUUAUAGGUUUUAUUGGUAAGAAUUUUGAAAUUUUUAAGAACAAAAUACUAAUUUUAUAA